AUUGAACGCUGGCGGCAUGCUUUACACAUGCAAGUCGAGCGGUAACAGGCCUUCGGGUGCUGACGAGUGGCGAACGGGUGAGUAAUGCAUCGGAACGUACCCAGAGGUGGGGGAUAACGCAGCGAAAGCUGUGCUAAUACCGCAUGUGAUCUGAGGAUGAAAGCGGGGGACCGAGCAGCAAUGUUUGGCCUCGAGCCUUUGGAGCGGCCGAUGUCGGAUUAGCUAGUUGGUGGGGUAAAGGCCUACCAAGGCGACGAUCCGUAGCUGGUCUGAGAGGACGACCAGCCACACUGGGACUGAGACACGGCCCAGACUCCUACGGGAGGCAGCAGUGGGGAAUUUUGGACAAUGGGCGCAAGCCUGAUCCAGCAAUGCCGCGUGCGGGAAGAAGGCCUUCGGGUUGUAAACCGCUUUUGGCAGGAACGAAACGGUGUCCGCUAAUACCGGGCGCUAAUGACGGUACCUGCAGAAUAAGCACCGGCUAACUACGUG
rnacentral:rRNA from 1 species